UUGUGUAUAAAAUGGACCAGGUGUG
rnacentral:piRNA from 1 species